rnacentral:tRNA from 1 species
GCGAUGGUAGUCUAGUCUGGUAGGACACGACCUUGCCAAGGUUGAGACUUACCGUGUAAAUGCACGGUAUCCAACAAACCCGGGUUCAAAUCCCGGCCUUCGCA